UACGUAGGGGGCAAGCGUUGUCCGGAUUUAUUGGGCGUAAAGAGCGUGUAGGCGGUUUGGUAGGUCCGCUGUGAAAACUCGAGGCUCAACCUCGAGACGCCGGUGGAAACCAUCAGGCUAGAGUCCGGAAGAGGAGAGUGGAAUUCCUGGUGUAGCGGUGAAAUGCGCAGAUAUCAGGAAGAACACCCGUGGCUAAGGCGGCUCUCUAGUACGGUACUGACGCUGAGACG
rnacentral:rRNA from 1 species